AGUGAACGCUGGCGGUAGGCCUAACACAUGCAAGUCGAACGGCAGCACAGUAAGAGCUUGCUCUUACGGGUGGCGAGUGGCGGACGGGUGAGGAAUACAUCGGAAUCUACUUUUUCGUGGGGGAUAACGUAGGGAAACUUACGCUAAUACCGCAUACGCCCUACGGGUGAAAGCAGGGGAUCUUCGGACCUUGCGCGAUUGAAUGAGCCGAUGUCGGAUUAGCUAGUUGGCGGGGUAAAGGCCCACCAAGGCGACGAUCCGUAGCUGGUCUGAGAGGAUGAUCAGCCACACGGGAACUGAGACACGGUCAAGAGUCCUACGGGAGGCAGCAGUGGGGAAUAGUGGACAAUGGGCGCAAGCCUGAUCCAGCCAUACCGCGUGGGUGAAGAAGGCCUUCGGGUUGUAAAGCCCUUUUGUUGGGAAAGAAAAGCAGCAGGUUAAUACCCCGCUGUUCUGACGGUACCCAAAGAAUAAGCACCGGCUAACUUCGUG
rnacentral:rRNA from 1 species